rnacentral:rRNA from 1 species
CAACUUUGCAACGUUUCCAG